rnacentral:rRNA from 1 species
CUGCGGACGGGUGAGUAACACGUGGGUAACCUACCUAUAAGACUGGGAUAACUCCGGAAACCGGGGCUAAUACCGGAUAACACAUGAAACCGCAUGGUUUCAUGAUGAAAGACGGUUUUGCUGUCACUUAUAGAUGGACCCGCGGCGUAUUAGCUAGUUGGUAAGGUAACGGCUUACCAAGGCAACGAUACGUAGCCGACCUGAGAGGGUGAUCGGCCACACUGGAACUGAGACACGGUCCAG